UAAUAUGUACUGAUGCCACACUACUAGAACAG
rnacentral:piRNA from 1 species